CGAAGUAACCAGGAAAACACAAAAAAAUGGUCGUUUCUUCGUAGGAGACACAAACCGCUAAGCAACAGGGGCUGCAACAGAAACCCCAAUUACCGCCCCCGCCCGCAAGAGCAGAGGGACCCGUUCUCUCCGCAGCAGCUGGGCGAGGAGCGCCCCCGAUUCAGCACAGACCCUCGGCCCGGAAACCAGCGGGGGAAGCCCUGGCCCAGGAGCGGAGCAGCUGGUGGCCUCCAAGCCUUAGGGGCGACUCACGCUCUACCCUUGCCCAAGCCGAGCCCGGCCAGCCCGGGCCCGGCCGCUGCCAGACGCGGGGGCGGCAGCACCCAGGAAAAGUUGCUCCCAUGCAGUGGCCCAGCCCGGGCCAGGGAACGAGGCGGCGCGCGGCGGGGUGAUUCUUUGCAACAGGAAAAUAUUGAAUGGAAAAAUACCACAAGACUGGGAGGAGCCUGAUCACAGAUAGCAGUUUCAAAGAACAGAAUACAGAGAUCUGUUCUUUAUUUCUUAAGCUGAUAUGAAACAGAUGAUUCUUCUGAGUAUAUGUCAGCAUAGUACAACUUCAUAUCAUAGGAUAUGAAAUAGAAAAUGCAAACUUAAAAGACCCUUUUUGCUUCAUAGAUGGACUUUCCAUCUGCUUUCACUCUGGAACUGGAAUUGCUAUUGGUGGUGAUGGACAAUCCAAUAUACCUACAAAGGUGCAUAUGUUAAUGUUAAAAUUCUUGGCACUUGCUUGGAUCCAGCUCCUGCUCCCAUUAAUGUGAAUGGAAGUUUUUUCAUUUACUUAAAUUGGUGCAGGCCUGGAAUGCUAAUUUUCAUACCACAGCUUUUCAGGGCACUACUUCUUAAAGGAAUGUAGGAUUUUCAACUGCUGUUUUGUAGAGCACGCGCAGUUGGGCAAAACGCGGCUUUUAUUGAAAAGGAAGACCAAUAGGAAAAUGUGAACAAGUGUUAAAUUUAGCAAAAAUUUAUUGUAUAGUAUGUCUAUGUUGUUAUAACAUGCAAUUAUCAGCUAAGGAAAGUAGGAGAAAUUAAAAAAAAAAAAAAGCACUAGCAUCUGGGGCCCAUGUUGGAAAUGUAGAUGUUGUAGAGUGUCUUGUGGGUGGAAGAUGGAUGGGGGUAUAAGGGCAGACUUAAAGUUGGCAUUUGAAUGGUAAUAUGAUGCCAGAUUCUCAGGAAAUUUAAAGUUCAACUUUAACAAACAUUCUAUUAACAUUGAUUUAAAAGGGAAUAUAUUCUCAACCUUAACGAUAUAAUCACAAAGUUAUGUGCCUUGCAAUAUAUGAACACCCAGCAGAUUUACUCACUUAUAAAACUGGUUAAUUUAACAGAUUAGGCAGUAAUUAUAUUACACCAUUUACUACAUGUGGGUUUUAGUUAUAUAAAAAUGUAAUAGCUUUUAUUUACUAUUUAUUUAAAAGGCUUUUAUAGUAUGGAUGCAUAAUUUAAAUAAUCUAGAAGAGCAAUGAAGUGAGCUGUAGCUCACAAAAGCUUAUGCUCAAAUAAAUUGGUUAGACUCUAA